rnacentral:rRNA from 1 species
AUUGAACGCUGGCGGCAUGCUUUACACAUGCAAGUCGAACGGCAGCGCGGACUUCGGUCUGGCGGCGAGUGGCGAACGGGUGAGUAAUAUAUCGGAACGUACCCAAGAGUGGGGAUAACGUAGCGAAAGUUACGCUAAUACCGCAUACGAUCUAAGGAUGAAAGCAGGGGAUCGCAAGACCUUGUGCUCCUGGAGCGGCCGAUAUCUGAUUAGCUAGUUGGUGAGGUAAAGGCUCACCAAGGCAACGAUCAGUAGCUGGUCUGAGAGGACGACCAGCCACACUGGAACUGAGACACGGUCCAGACUCCUACGGGAGGCAGCAGUGGGGAAUUUUGGGACAAUGGGGGGCAACCCUGAUCCAGCAAUGCCGCGUGAGUGAAGAAGGCC